UACGAAGGGGGCUAGCGUUGCUCGGAAUUACUGGGCGUAAAGCGUACGUAGGCGGCUUUGUAAGUUAGAGGUGAAAUCCCGGAGCUCAACUCCGGAAUUGCCUUUAAAACUGCAUCGCUAGAAUUGUGGAGAGGUAAGUGGAAUUCCGAGUGUAGAGGUGAAAUUCGUAGAUAUUCGGAAGAACACCAGUGGCGAAGGCGACUUACUGGACACAUAUUGACGCUGAGGUGCGAAAAGCGUUGGG
rnacentral:rRNA from 1 species